UCUUGACUAGUAUAUCGGUUCAGUACACCCGCUUGUCAUCAUUUGCAUCUCCAUUCCCUCUUUACGCGGGAGAGCAGGGUUCGACUCCCUGGUCGAGAG